AGGCAGAGAACAUAACAUAUCACAGUAUACUGUUAUAAUUUUCUAUUUUGUUUUUAGCUAUGUUAGUCUCCUACUGAUUUACUUCAUAUGUUAAGCUUUUUCAUAGCUAUAAGAAUAGGAAAAGCAUGGUAUGUAGAAGGUUCAACAUUACCAUAGUCUCAGUAGCAGCUGAAUACCUCAGAACAAAGAAGGGCUGACUACUGAAUAACACCUGGGAUGUGGUAGAUAAUUCUGCAACGUGUCCUAAAUGCAGUUAUCUCUGCAUAGGAGGGAUUGGAAUAGAAAUCAAUAUGGCACUGGAAUGAAAGACAGUAAGGUGAAUGGAGCAACCUAUAUUUAAUCAUCUAAUUUGUAACUUGCCAAUAAAAUCUUCUGAGGUUGUGUGGAAAUACAUAAAGUAUUCAAUUUGAGUAUUUCAGUUUAACUUCAAGAAUUUUUUUUAAUCUUAAAAUGCUAGAGAGGUAACAAAUUAAUUCAGUCGCUCUGACGUUUACAUUUUAGUCUAAAUUGUUUUGAGUUUCUUUUGGCUUUUCUAUAUUAAAAGUACAGAAUCUGGGUAAACUGUUGUUAGGAUAGCUUUACUAAUUGAUUGGAACUGGAAAUUUCCAUAAGGAAUUUGUUAGUUUCCUCUCUGUGAAAAGUAUUGCCUAUUGUGAGAAUUAAGUCAGAUAAUGCAUUGAAAAUAUUUACUAUCACAGCUAACACACUAGAUACUGGAAAAAUUUAGCUAUAAUUCCCCCCCUCUCUGUAUUGAAUAUACAUUUCAUUUUUAUCUUCUUACAAAGAUAACACCAAUAUCUAAUUUUAAAAUGAUGUGUGUACUAUGUGUGUGUGCCUCUCCAUCUGCGAGUGUGCACAUAUCACAGCAUGCCUGUCGAGGUCAUAGGUCAUCCAUGGCUGCCAGCCACCUUCUGCCUUGUUUGAGUGCUACCUCACCCAGCUUCCCAUGGACUCUAAGGCAUCAAGCUCAGACCCUCGUGCUUGUAAUAUGAACACCUUACCCACUAAUUUUCCCCAGCCCCCUAAGAAGUUAUUUAAAAACCGGGAGAUUGGCAGCUUCCAUUAUCUUAAUUUCUGAGUCUAUGAGAUUGGUGUAAAUGCAAAAGACUGCAACGAGGUGCUCUAGCCUCUGUCAGCGCUUAGCUCUCUUCCCAGCUGCCCUUCAAGUUUUGCUUAAGAUGGCACAGCAUGGCAAGCAGUAAGGACUGGAGAGGACUUUGCAAUUCAUCCCAUCAUUUUCUAGAUACCUGUCCCAGUGUCACAGGGAAGCAGAGACAUGACUGGCUCAGAGCUUGCUGCUUAUCCAUCCAUCCAUCCAUCCAUCCAUCCAUCCACUCUGACAGGUGAUCCCGCUCCUGGUUACUUUAUAAUGAUGUUGCCUUCUUCUGCUAUGCCCUAGAUGUCUCAUGAUGUCACACAGGCAGAAGCCCACUCCGGGGCCUACAGCAGGCACUUGACAAUGGCUCCAUCAGUCCUCUGAUGUGCCUAAGUGAACACUGAGCAGUGGAGGUUGGAAACUAACACAAUUUUUCUUCUUUUUGCUUUUGAGACAGGGUCUCCUGUAGCACAGCCUAGCCUGUAACCCUGUGUAGUUACAUAGGAAUCUUCCAUUCCUCUUCGUUCUACCUCUGAGUCCUGAGUGCUGGGACUUAAGGCCUGUGCCCUAAAUGCCUAGGUUUCUGCUAUGCACUUGUCUUCUUGUGGUAAGAGUGUUGUCUUACAUCUGUGUAUACUAGUACCUCCCAUGUGGAAGUUUUCUGCUACCUUUGUAGGUGAUCAGGAUACACUCAUGGAACACAAAGGGUCAUGUGGGAAUCACUGGCCUCUAGAGAAUACCUAGGCUAUGGUGGGGUGCUGCUUACUGGCUUGCUCCUCAUGGCUUUCUCAGCUUUAUUUCUUAUAGAACCCAGGACCAACAAGCAGAGGGGUGGCCCCACCCACAAUGUGCUGGGCCCUCCCCUAUCAAUCACUGAUUAAGAAAAUGGCCUACGGCUGGAUCUUAUGGAGGCAUUUUCUCAAAUGAGGGUCCCUCUUUUCAGAUGACUCUAGCUUGUGUCAAGUUGACAUAAAACCACUCAAGACACACACCAUCCACAAGAAGCAUUGUACCCAGAGGUUAACUUUUAAGGACAGACCCAGUGUUCAAUUAGAACCUGGGACACAGCUCUUGAGAAAAGGAACAGCACAAAUGGCUCAUCGUGUGAUUGACAAGGGGGGCGGCAGCUGAAUUGUGUCAGUAGUCAGGGCUGUCUGCGGUGACCUUUCUUGGACUUGAACAUGCACAGCCAAGCUCUGGGGAAAGAGUCAGAAGUAGAUGUAAUGGGAGAGUUGAUUGGAUGUGAGCAGCCAAGGUCAAAGGGUCUGCUCACAAAGGGGGACGGUCGUGUUAUUUGCCUGUCACAGAACCGUGUAGACAAACCACAGUGAGUCAGCCACGCGAGGAGUUCUCUACCCCCUGACCAAUUCUGCUCCAUUCCACAAGAGUUAGACAGCCCAGUCCCUCUAUUUUUGAAUCACUCCUGUCUGCUUGUGUGAUGGUGGGGGUUCCCGCUGUGCCAUCAUUGGGGCUUACAUCCAGUGUUGGGGGCGCAGUGCUAUCAGGACUUCCCAGUUAAAUGGAUCCUUCGGAAGGAGGAGAUUUAUACAAAACUCAGGGUUGUGAGGAGCUAGUGUACCGGGAAUCAUUUUACAAAUGCAUCUUAAACUCAAAGCUUCUUGUAAAGAAAACAAUAGAACUUAGUUCUGCAUUCAACCCUUUCCUCGGGCUCAAAUACUCAUAUAGAAAUAAUUCACACGCUGUGUCCUUGUCUCUUUACAUUUUCUCCUGGUACAAUAGAACGUUUUUCUAGCCCCCAGGUCACCAUCGGUUAUUUGGGGACAGAUUUAUCGUUUAAUAAAACCCUUGGGCAUCUGGAAGACUUGUUUCAAAACUGGAUAAG
ensembl:sense_intronic Gm42679 predicted gene 42679